rnacentral:lncRNA from 1 species
AGAAUGGUGAACAGCAAGGUCAACUACAGAGGAGUUUUUAAAAGCAAAAUUUAGGGGAAAGGCACCACUUCACUGACCCAAGAGAGCUUUUGUUACCAAACAGUGAAACCAGAAGGUGUUUUCCCGUCUCUGUCGAAAGAAGUCAUGUGCUGGUCUGGAGAGAAUGAUUUUUGUUGCAGCUGAAUUCAGAACCCAAAGCACCUCUGAUUAUCCACUGCUUAGGCAGAACACAGGCAGAAGAUAAAGUGUUCCUGUUAAUGUGCUUCCGCUCUCCCCUAAAGGAGUGAUUUCCAGGAGUGGAGAGGAAGACCAUGUCUACAGAAAUCUUGGCAACCUCUUAUCCAGGAAGACUAUGGAGAUUUCAUGAUCUUGCUGUUGUUUGCAACAAGACUUUAUAGAUGAGGAAACAGGCUCGGAACAGUUGCAGGACUCGAGGAGCUGAGUGUCGGAGCCAGGAAUCAAACAGCUGUGAGGGUCAGGCUCCAGGCCUGUUUUCCUCUCAUUCUUCCUCACCACGGCGCCCACAGUGCAGCAUUCCACCUGGUGCUAAGGCCGUCAGGACAGGCUACAAAAUACUAUUGUACCCACAACGUACUUGUAGCUACUCUAGUUCCAACAGAACCCAACAUCAGCGCCUAAGCCCAGGGAGGAGUGUGGCUUUCUGCGCCCCUCCUCCCUCCUUUUCCCUUGAGAGGAAAUUACACGCACUCUUCAGCAUACUGCUGAGUCUCUGCAAGCCCUGCCAGCCCGCAGGAAGGUUCCAGGAGCAGGAUCUGCAAUGGCCUUGAAGUUCCUUCCAGAAGCCUUUCCUGACCUCCCUUUCUCCGAACUCAUCAACAUGGUCAUCAACAUGGUCCCUAAAUUACCUGCUGCCUUUUCUAUUUAUUUAUUUACUUUCUGUUUUUCUCUCCAAUAGAGAGUAGGGUCUUUUAGAGGCAAGGACUGUGACUU